GGGGUAUUUUAAAAGUAGUUAUUAAGUUUUUUUCUUUAAAGCUUUUGAAACUUAAUAACACUUUAAGUUAACCUUGUUAAGAUCAUUAAUUUUACCUUUCAAAGAUCCAAGAACAAUUAUUAAAACCUUUUUGAUCAGAUAACUAAUAAACUAACUAACUAGAUCAUUGAUGCAUAAUUAACUGCAUCAAUGAUUUUUUUUUAUUAUUUUUACUGCAAAAAAUGCAGAUUUAUCUGUUCAAACCAAUGAUUUUAAAAGGCUUUUUUUUAUUAUUAAUCAUUGGUUAUUUUUUACUUGUGAUUUUAGCUUUAAUGCUUAUAAAAAAAUCCAAUGAUAAAAGUUUUUUUAGAAAAGUGUUGUGCAAACUGAUUUAUUGUGCUAUAAUCUUUAAGGCUUAUAUAGCUACAUUGUUCUUUGAAAACUGAAUACGACAAAUCUUUCUAGUCCGAAAUUUGAUUAAAGUAUCAAAUCAAAUUUCAUAUAAUAUAGAUUCAAUAAAAAUAGCUAAUGGAUCAAAUACAUAAGUUACUAAGGGCUUAU
rnacentral:misc_RNA from 1 species